UGGUGGGUUGCCUUGUCAGGUUGAUUCCGGUAACGAACGAGACCUCAGCCUGCUAAAUAGUCACGUCUGCCACCGGCAGGCGCCUGACUUCUUAGAGGGACUAUUGGCGUUUAGCCAAUGGAAGUGUGAGGCGAUAACA
rnacentral:rRNA from 1 species